UCACAUGUUUAAUGUAUAAAUAGACGUCACAUUUUUUCUAACUCCUGUAAAAUGUCGGAGAGGAACGCCAACAUCCACUGAUGGAGGAGGAGAAAGAUGGCGGACGGGAGCACCAGCAUCUACCAGUGGAGGAGAAUAAAUACUAUUAUUAACCAAAACAAUGUAAGUAAAACCUCUCGUUUACACAGAAACACACUUCACACGUUUAAUGUAAAAAAUGACAUUACUUUAUCAUUAUGCCUGUAAAAUGUUGGACUUGACCACCAGAAUUCACUGAUUGAGAACAAGGAAGAUGGAAGACUACCAUCAUCUACCAGUGGAGGAGGAGGAGGAGAAAAAUGCGGGAGCACCAGCAUCCAAAAGUGUCCCAUAAUCAGCCCCAGGAGGAGAUAUCAGCAGAGGAAAGAAAGACUAUUAACCAAAACAAUGUAAGUAAAACCUUUUAUUUACACAGAAAGACAAUGAACUUUUUUUUAUUGUAAAAAUGUUGUCAUUGGUAAAAAAAUAAAUAAAUGAGAAAUAGAUGUUUCUUUACACUAAAACCUGUAAAUUGUCCACCACAGUGUCCAACAAUCAGCCCCAGGAGGAGACGCCAGCAGAGGAAAGAAACAAUAUUAACCAAAACAAUGUAAGUAAAAUCUCUCAUUUACACAGAAAGACACUCACAUAGUUAAUGUAUGAAUAGACGUCACGUUUUACUAACGCCUAUAAAAUGUCGGAGAGGAACGCCAACAUCCAAUGAUGGAGGAGAAGAAAGAUGGAGGACGGGAGCACCAGCAUCUACCAAUGGAGGAGAAGAAAUACUUUUAUUAACCAAAACAAUCAUCCACUGAUGGAGGAGAAGAAAGAUGGAGGACGGGAGCACACAAACAUCUGCACAAGACGGAGAUGAAGAAAGACUUCUAUCAAUCAACCAAAAACAAUGUAAGUAAAGCCUCUUGUUUGAACACACAUUUAAUAUAAAAAUAGAUGUUAAUUACUGUACUAGUGUCUGUAAAAUGUCUUGUGUGUGAUUACAGAUUCACUUCAGAGGAGAAUCAGACUGUUCCAGAUGUUCAUCACCACAGCACAGAAUGAGACAGCAGUAGUAGUAGUAGUGUUUACUCUGACUGCUUUCAUUUCAACUAUAAAUAAAUAAAAAAUAAUAUCUUAAGAAAUCA
rnacentral:lncRNA from 1 species